rnacentral:misc_RNA from 1 species
AACGCACCUUGCACCGUAUGAGCAAUUGUACGGUAUACCUGUUUGAGAAUCGUAAAAUCAAAUCUUACCCUUCGGGGUGGGGACUUGUCGAUAGGUCAAAGCAUCGAUUAAAUGUAAAAGGUUUGGAUCAGGCUGGUGGCCUGGGACACUAUGUGCUAGAGACUAGGCGGUUGUUUACUCGACCGGUCUGUCUUCUCAUGGUGCGUCCCUAGUCAUUUCAAAGCUGGCCUGGUCAAUUCGAGCCUUUAACUGCGUCAAGUAACCAAUCUUGAGCAACCUUUCUCUCUUUGAUCUCAAAUCAGGUAAGGCUACCCGCUGAACUUAA